rnacentral:rRNA from 1 species
AGUGAACGCUGGCGGUAGGCCUAACACAUGCAAGUCGAACGGCAGCACAGUAAGAGCUUGCUCUUACGGGUGGCGAGUGGCGGACGGGUGAGGAAUACAUCGGAAUCUACUUUUUCGUGGGGGAUAACGUAGGGAAACUUACGCUAAUACCGCAUACGACCUACGGGUGAAAGCAGGGGAUCUUCGGACCUUGCGCGAUUGAAUGAGCCGAUGUCGGAUUAGCUAGUUGGCGGGGUAAAGGCCCACCAAGGCGACGAUCCGUAGCUGGUCUGAGAGGAUGAUCAGCCACACUGGAACUGAGACACGGUCCAGACUACUACGGGAGGCAGCAGUGGGGAAUAUUGGACAAUGGGCGCAAGCCUGAUCCAGCCAUACCGCGUGGGUGAAGAAGGACUUCGGGUUGUAAAGCCCUUUUGUUGGGAAAGAAAAGCAGCAGGUUAAUACCCCGCUGUUCUGACGGUACCCAAAGAAUAAGCACCGGCUAACUUCGUG